GGCCGCGGGAAUUCGAUUCAGGCCUAACACAUGCAAGUCGAGCGGGGUUUUCGGACCUAGAGGCGGACGGGUGAGUAAUGUGCGGGAAGAUACCCGACAGAGGGGGAUACCAGUUGGAAACGACUGUUAAUACCGCAUAAUGUGUACGGACCAAAGUGUGGGACCUUCGGGCCACAUGCUGUCGGAUGCGCCUACGUGGGAUUAGCUAGUUGGUGAGGUAAUGGCUCACCAAGGCGACGAUCCCUAGCUGGUUUGAGAGGAUGAUCAGCCACACUGGAACUGAGACACGGUCCAGACUCCUACGGGAGGCAGCAGUGGGGAAUAUUGGACAAUGGGCGCAAGCCUGAUCCAGCCAAGGCGCGUGUGUGAAGAAGGCCUUCGGGUUGUAAAUCAAAUGCAGCGAGGAGGAAGGGUUGUGUGUUAAUAGUACACAGCCUUGACGUACUCGCAGAAG
rnacentral:rRNA from 1 species